UCUGAGAGUAAUCGGGUUUGUGCGAGCAGGAGUAAUAAAAGGAGAAAUGAUGUAUAUAAAGUAUUUUUGUUGAGGUAACAGCACUCAUUCAACACAUUAAGUGCCAGGCGCUGUUGUACUGAAGGUCAACAGAGAAGAGCACACGGGCCCUGCUUUUGAGGGGAAGGGUACACACAGCCCGCAGCUGCACCGGCGUGUAACUCGUGGGCAACGUGAAUGACACGCACAAUCAUGUAUGAACCAGACGCUCUGAGAGCACAGAGAAGGACGUGCCUGCCACGGGGCGCUCAGGGAAGCUUCUCAGGAGAGACGAAGCGGCUUCACAUCCAUUAUUGUCUUAUGUCAGACGUUCUCAAACGACUCACACAUCCCAAGCUGUGUGUAAUAAAACUGGUGGCCUUUGAAGUUUGCCCCUGGGUUCCCUGAAAGCUUACUGCUGCCGAGUGUAGAGGAGAGUUCCGUGGAGCGCGCUCCCCCGCCGCGUGCACGCUCAUCCUGGCUUGACGCCGCACGGGGCCUCUUGACAGCCUCCAGAUCAGGAAUGCAGAGUUGGCGGCAGCGGCAGUCAGACCUAACACGGUCAAGCGCACACCUACCACGCGCUGCCCCAGAGUUUUACUUAUAUUAUCUCUUACAAUCUUCAUGAUCAUUCUAGGAAAUAGGAAUGGGCAAGGCUUCAUCAGCUAGAGUUGUACUUGCUGAAGAAUAGGAAGAAAUGGCAUUUGCACCUCCAAAAGCACAAAAUAGAAGAGGUAUCUCCCACCCUUUGUGAGUACCUAUUCUCUAUAGUUGUCUAUUUUUCCUGUGUGAUAUUAGUCUCACCACUUGUGUCUGGGAAGGAAAUGAAUUAUGCUUCCCUGAGCUCUAAGACUCAUGUAAAGCCUCCAUGCACAAGGGGAUUAUCUAUCCAGACUGAGUAACUGUUCCCAGUAAUGCAGGUACAAUUUACAAGGUCUGUUUAAUAUUUUUAAAAUGGUUAAAGAUGAAUAGAUGGAGUUUUAAAUGGUGGAUGACCCAAAUCAAAAUAGCCUAUUAAAUUGUAAGUGGCAAAUUAAUGUUGCAUUCUUGAGUGGCAAAAAGAUGUCCUAUAUUAUUUCCAAUUAUCUUCUCUCUCAUUUCCACAUUCGAUCCUGCCUUAAUUACCUUUGCUACUUUAUGUCACCUAAAUCAUUAUGUCUCUGUAUUAGUUUCCUAGUGAUGUGACAAACUACGGCUGACUUGGUGACUUAAACAACAGACAUGUAUUUUCUCACAGUUUAGAGGCCAGAAAUCAAAAAUGAAAGUGUCAGCAGGGUGUACUUCCUCCAAAGGCUGGAGGAGAGGAGGCUUUCACGUCUCUUCUGCUUGUGGCAGCCCUGGGUGUUCCUUGACUGUGACUGCAGAGCUCUAAUCUCUGCUUCCACCUUCACGUGGCCUUCUCUUCUCCUCUGUCUCUUUCAAGGACACUUGUCAUUGACUAUAGGGCCCACCCAGAUAAUCCAGGAUGGUCUCAUCUCAAGAUCUUUAACUUAAUGACUUCUACAGAGUCUAUUUUUCUAAAUAAGGCACAUUCACAGUCUCAGGAGAUUAGGACAUGGGCAUACCAUUUUGGGGACCACCAUUCAAUUCACUGCAGUCUCAAACCUGGUCUAUCACCAGAAUCACCUAGGUAACUGUAUAAAAUUCAGAUUCCCAGUCCCUAUCCUUAGACACUCUGGUUCCAUGGGCAGACUUGUGUGAAUGUUUGUGAUUUACAGUGACAGAUGAGAACCACAUCUGGAUUUAAAAAAAAAAAUCCUCUGGGUGAUUCUGAUGAUUGCUGUCCCCCAUUCUUUCAAGAUCUUAAUUUUUGAAAAUGUCAUUUUUAUCUGUUAUAUCAUCAAUGCACUGAAAUACCACAUCUACAAUAUCACAUUAAUAAUAGCAAGAUGGUG